CAUGCCCGACAUUGUUUUUUCCAUCGAUUUCCCUUCAAUUCGACGUCACGAUUUUCGUCGACGCAAACAGUUUGACAGUUCUCUUCAGUUUGUCUUGUUUGGACUUGAAUGCAACCGAAUCGAACCAGUUAUUGUUGAUGUUGGGCUUCGGAAGGAUUUUGACCGGUAAGUUGUGCUUCUUUUUCUGUCGGAAAGUUCCGGCCGGAGUGGGCAAGUGGCCAAAUUAUAGUUUCUUAUGUUCCAGAUAUUCAGAAUUCUGUCUUCGUGGCGGUGGAGGAGGAGGACGAGACGCAUGAAUCCGGCGGGCCAGAUCUUCGUGGCGGAAGACAGGACCGGGAGGAACCGAGCUUAUGGAGGAUAUGGUUCAUUCCAAAGGAGGAGGAGGAUGAAUCACCGAAUGUCAAAAGUUCUACCCAAGGUAAGAGAAAAAGGGGUACAGAAUAAUCAUCUCGUGGCGGUGUUUCUGAUCCACCGGAUUUUUUAAUCAAUAGAACUGUUGCUUCAAGUCAUUGAAAUGAUGGAAGAGGCGCAUUUCAAAGUAUCGGGAGUGAGCUUGGAAGACCGGAAGUAUGAGGGCUAAUAUUGGGUGUUAUGAUUAUUGGACUUCAGAAUUGUAUAAUAAAAAACUCUAACAUUUGACUAAUCAAAAAUUAACUCCUUAAGGAAAUUUUUAGUAUCUCUGAUUUAACCCUUCAAGGCCCAGAACUUUUUGUACAGUUUUUAUUACCUAAAAAGUAGUUAACAUUGAAAAAACGGAUUUUUGGAAUGGUGUAACCAAACAUAUUCCAAUCUGAUCCUGCUAACAACCCAGCGUCUCCGUGUUGUUCCACGCAGCUUGUUGAACGGAAGCUGUAACGACCGCAAAAACACCUGCUCCAGAAGUUCGUAAACGUUGUCCCGUACUCCGGUGGCCAUCAAUCCAUGGGACAUAAACGGUGGCGCCGCACCCCGCCGUAUCUGCGGCUAGUCGAGGAGCAAUAGUCCUUCUUGAUCAAGAUGCUUCCCCGCACGCUGGCGUCGGCUCGAAAAGAUGGCUGACAAAAUCCGGACCCGGAAGACAACGCCAAAAAAAUCCGGCCAAGAUGCCGAGCGACGAGGAGAUCUGGAAGACCAACCGGAAGACGACACCAAGAUGUACGUGAAGAUCCGCGACACAACAAGUAUAAUGAAA
rnacentral:misc_RNA from 1 species